rnacentral:rRNA from 1 species
CCUACGGGAGGCUGCAGUAGGAAAUCUUCCACAAUGGACGAAAGUCUGAUGGAGCAACGCCGCGUGAGUGAAGAAGGGUUUCGGCUCGUAAAGCUCUGUUGGUAGGGAAGAAAGAUAGAGGGAGUAACUGGCCUUGAGUGGACGGUAAGGACGGAGAAAGUCACGGCUAACUACGUGCCAGCAGCCGCGGUAAGACGUAGGUGGCAAGCGUUGUCCGGAUUUAUUGGGCGGAAAGCGAGUGCAGGCGGUUCAAUAAGUCUGAGGUGAAAGCCUUCGGCUCAACCGGAGAAUUGCAUCCGAAACUUUUGAACUUGAGUGCAGCAGAGGACAGUGGACCUCCAUUUGUAGCGGU